GAUGAACGCUGGCGGCGUGCCUAAUACAUGCAAGUCGAGCGAACAGAUAAGGAGCUUGCUCCUUUGACGUUAGCGGCGGACGGGUGAGUAACACGUGGAUAACCUACCUAUAAGACUGGGAUAACUUCGGGAAACCGGAGCUAAUACCGGAUAACAUAUUGAACCGCAUGGUUCAAUAGUGAAAGGCGGCUUUGCUGUCACUUAUAGAUGGAUCCGCGCCGUAUUAGCUAGUUGGUAAGGUAACGGCUUACCAAGGCAACGAUACGUAGCCGACCUGAGAGGGGGGUCGGCCACACUGGAGCUGAGACACGCUCCAGACUACUGCGGGAGGCAGCAGUAGGGAAUCUUCCGCAGUGGGCGAAAGCCUGACGGAGCAACGCCGCGUGAGUGAUGAAGGUCUUCGGAUCGUAAAACUCUGUUAUCAGGGAAGAACAAAUGUGUAAGUAACUGUGCACAUCUUGACGGUACCUGAUCAGAAAGCCACGGCUAACUACGUG
rnacentral:rRNA from 1 species